rnacentral:misc_RNA from 1 species
CAACYAUUGUUGAAUGCAGCACAAACGUAUCAGCGUGUUGGGGUUGCAUUCCACGGUUUAAUUACCCAAGUUUGAGGUAAUUGAAUGUUUCGGCCCAGAGUUUCGGCUGCUGUGGCUUGAAGUAAAAUUUUGGAACGUCCUGCUACUUAGCGGGACAACAA